rnacentral:rRNA from 1 species
UCGCCUGUUUAUCAAAAACAUCGCUCUCCGACUUCUAAAACAUGGAGAGUCCUGCCUGCCCAGUGACUGUUAAAGUUAAACGGCCGCGGUAUCCUGACCGUGCGAAGGUAGCAUAAUUAUUUGUCUCCUAAAUAGAGACUGGCAUGAAUGGCAAGACGGGGCUCUACUGUCUCCUUAUCUUCUAUCCGAAAUUCACAUCUUUGUGAAGAGGCAGAGAUGAAAUCGUUAGACGAGAAGACCCUAUCGAGCUUAAGUCAAAACAAGAACUUAAACCACCUUUUCUACACCUCUAAUUGUAUCUAUCUAAUCUGUAGAUUGAAGGAUUGUUUCUUGUCUCGACUUUAGUUGGGGCAACUACGGAGAAAAAAAUCCUCCGUUAAUAUUAAAGUUUCUAGGAAAACAAUCCUGAAACAAAGCCUUAAGUGAUCCACCCUGGUGAUCAAAGGAACAAGUUACCGUAGGGAUAACAGCGUAAUCUUUUUUAAGAGUUCAUAUUGACAAAAAGGUUUGCGACCUCGAUGUUGGAUCGGGACAUCCUAAUAGUGCAGAAGCUUUUAAGGGUUGGUCUGUUCGACCAUUAAAGUCCUACGUGAUCUGAGUUCAGACCGA